GAUGAACGCUGGCGGCGUGCCUAAUACAUGCCAGUCGAGCGAACGGACGAGAAGCUUGCUUCUCUGAUGUUAGCGGCGGACGGGUGAGUAACACGUGGAUAACCUACCUAUAAGACUGGGAUAACUUCGGGAAACCGGAGCUAAUACCGGAUGAUAUUUUGAACCGCAUGGUUCAAAAGUGAAAGACGGUCUUGCUGUCACUUAUAGAUGGAUCCGCGCUGCAUUAGCUGGUUGGUAGGGUAACAGCUUACCAAGGCAACGAUGCAUAGCCGACCUGAGAGGGUGAUCGGCCACACUGGAACUGAGACACGGUCCAGACUCCUACGGGAGGCAGCGGUAGGGAAUCUUCCGCAAUGGGCGAAAGCCUGACGGAGCAACGCCGCGUGAGUGAUGAAGGUCUUCGGAUCGUAAAACUCUGUUAUUAGGGAAGAACAUAUGUGUAAGUAACUGUGCACAUCUUGACGGUACCUAAUCAGAAAGCCACGGCUAACUACGUA
rnacentral:rRNA from 1 species